GGCCUAACUUUUGCAAAAUGAACCAAAUCGAAGAUGGUCCGGCUUCCAUUUAACCCGGUCCGGGCCAAUUUAGGUAUCGAACCGGUCGUCUGUUCUCAAUCGGAGACGAGAUCCGAGGCAGAGUGCAGUCUCCCUUCCUUCUCUCUCUUCGUCUGCUUCGUCUGCUUCGUCUUUCUGAUUGAUUUCUUCACCAAAUCGAGUACGUCAGGCCUCACCAUGAUGACCCCGAAAUCUCCUCACGCCGAUGCGCGAUUUGCUCGCUUGUCUGCAUCCAGCGCACCCAGUUCGAGGCAAACUCCUUUGCAGAUAAUACAUGUUAUUGCAAACUUCAUGAGAAUAUGGUCUGUUUACUCCUUGUAUCAUUAUCUAGCACAUCAUGGAGACAGUGUAGUGCCUUUCAUUUUCAGUUGCUUAGUUCCAGCUUCUGUUAUAUUCCUAGUUCUACAAAAACCUUGGCAAGGGAGGCCUUUAUCCAAUUCUCAGAUAAUACCAACUGUUAUUAAUGGUGGGAUUAUGGCAUUAUAUUUUGUAUUAUGGGGAAAAGGACUUCAAUCAUGUGGACCACUGAUUGCUCUACUAGCAGAGUAUGCAGGUGCUAUCCUUGGGAUCUUAUCUGCAGCAUUAUAUGGAUGGAAAGUAGAUAUUCGGAGAAAGGUGGGCGGACUGGUUGCAAUGCUGACUUCCUACUAUUUACUUUCAAGAGGGUGGGCUACAAGAACAAAUUCACCAUUUUAUAUCUUUGACAAAGAAUCACUGACACAGGCAAAACCAACUUUAGAACUCAAAGAAUUAGUGGCACCGAUUGCAGCUGGCAUUUUAUCAGCUUUGAGGAGGGUUAUCGCACGACGCAUAUCUCUCAAGAAUCAGCUUAAAAGGAGACUUCACACAAUGAGUGUUGCUUCUGCAACAUGCUUUCUUUUUCCUCUUGCCAUGUGGGACACAAUAUUAGGUUCAGCUUCUGAUAGUAUUGUUAAGUUUCAGUUUCCAAGCUGGGCAUACUUGAGUACAAUCUUCUUUGGAAUUAUUUUCAUAUUCUAUGCCGAUAACAUUGCUGAAGAAAGGCUGCAUCUUGUUUUUUCUUCUCCAAGGCAUCUAAUGAUUUCUGGAGUAUGCAUUAUUAUUAUGGAAAUCUUAUAUCUAAUGGAUUUUUCCCUUUUGGGUUUUGUGAUUUGUUCUUCAAUUUUGGCAUUCGGUAUUUUUGAAGCAACUUCACUUGGGAGAUUUAGAAGAGGUCCUCAAGAUUCUCAGCCUGGAUCAGAGGGAGAACUUCAAGAAAAUAUUCAGAUGUCUCCACUUCCAAGCUGAUGAUAAUCAUCAACAGUCCAUUUGGGAUUAAUGACUCCCUCUCACUCUAAUGCGGCCUCAAUCCGUAGCAUCUACUUUUGAGAUAGAUUUUUACAGCUACUGUUUUUUUGAUGAUGCUGAUGGUCCCCUCUCCCAGUUGACUGGAACUGAUCAAGUCCUUUUCAUUGAAUCGUGUACAAGCAGUGGGAAGAACUGAUAAGCUGACGAUGACAGGAGCAAGAAGUUUCAACUGGAAUCCUAUCAGACAAAAUGGACUGCUUUAUUUUUUCAAUGAUCAUGUGAUUCAAAUUCGAUGAGCUUGGACGUUUCUGAACAGUCGCAGAAUCUGGAAAUCUAUCAGUGCUCUUUUUUUCCUGUUGUUGGAUUGGAUCAUACUUCAUCGUCGGCCGAUGUUUUAGCCGACAUCUUCUAAGUGGGAAGCAAAAUUCAAACACAGAUUUUGGUCAUUUGAGUUCCUCAGAAAUUAGAUCAGAAUCAGUAAAGAACCAGACUAAAGCUA